rnacentral:rRNA from 1 species
UACGAAGGGGGCUAGCGUUGUUCGGAAUCACUGGGCGUAAAGGGCGCGUAGGCGGCCAUAUAAGUCGGGGGUGAAAGCCUGUGGCUCAACCACAGAAUUGCCUUCGAUACUGUAUGGCUCGAGACCGGAAGAGGUAAGUGGAACUGCGAGUGUAGAGGUGAAAUUCGUAGAUAUUCGCAAGAACACCAGUGGCGAAGGCGGCUCACUGGCCCGGUACUGACGCUGAGGCACGAAAGCGUGGGUAGCAAACAGG